UUGUAAAAGAAGAAGAAGAAGAAGAAGAAAGGGUGUGUAAAUGUGUACUGUGAAAGAAAGAUUUGAGGGGAUCUUGCCAUUAAAGUCGCUUUCUCUACCUCUGACUCUCAUGGCGAAAGCGACCCCUCACCCUUCGUUUGAUUUACACAUUCACCAUUUUCCUCCAUUUUUCUUCCGUAUUUCCUGCAAGAAAACACUCACCCUUUUCCUAACCCGACACUGUUCCUCCAUUCCAUUUACUACUACCAUCUCUUCCUUAUAAAUAUUGCUGUAUUUAGCUAAGCAUUUAUUCAACUCACCCUCCAUCUUAUUCUUUUCUGCACUUUUAAUUUUGUUCUCUUCUUCUUCUUCUUCCUCUUAUUCCCUGCUACUCUUAUUUGUUGCAUUCCAUUCUUCCUUUUGCAGCUUCAUCCAUUUAAGGGUCAAAGGUGGUACCUUUCCAGGUUUUUAUUUAAUUAUUUAUUUAUGAUGGGUAUGGUUAAUCAAUUGCUUUUUUGCAAUCUUAUUUGUGGAACAUGUAUUGUUGUUCUCUUAUAAGAAUUACUGUUUGUCUGGAAUGAUAUCCAUAAAAAGAGUUUACUUGAUCAAGAGAGAUCAAAUGGAUUUUUUAUUUUUGUUGGCUUAUUGUUGAUUUUAGGGUUUGUAGAGGAGUUCACUCUUCCAAUUAGUAAGGUUGGAUCUCCAUAGUGAGUUUAUUACAUUAAGAAAGAUCAAAUGGAUCUUGAUUUUUCUAGGCCAUCACUUUUCAAUUGAAAUUUUUGUUGGGAUUUCAAUUUGAUUAGUUCAAUUCCCAUUUUUCUUACUGAAGAAAUUUUACUAUUUUAAGUAUCUUUUUGGUUAAGAUGUCAUGCCUUUUUUUUUUUUUUUUUUUUUAAUUUUUAAAAUAUAUAUAUUAAGGUUGUUGCUUUGUUAAGUUCAUGGCUUUUGGCUUUGUGAUUGAUCCAUUUAUGAUCCUCUAUCUAGACUCAUAAGAUUGCCUGAAAAUGUUUUGAGCUAUUCCUUGUACACUGAAAGUUAUUUUCUAUGGAUGAUUAAAUUAAUAAUAAAGAUAUAUCUAUGUAUGCACCUUGAUUUUAGGAUUUAUAAAACCAUUCAAAGAUCAAGAAUAAUGAUAAUAAUAAUUUGCGGAGUGUUAGGCUAGAGAGAAAACGCCUCAUUUCUGCUUUCUAUGUUUUUCCUCCUUAAGGUAGAAAGGAGUGACUUAAAGCCCCAUAUCCAUAUUCUGAGCAGUAACAAAGGAGCGACUAGCUUCUUAUGUGAAAUUAUUUUCUUUUAUCAAUGAAGAAAUUAUCUUUUCUUAUUUUCUUUAAAGUGGAUAGAAGUUGCACAUGCUUCAACUUCAUUCUUGUUUUGAAGAUUUUUCAAUGUUCAUAUUCUUCAUUUAAUUUCUUUAACACCCAAUUUGGUUCAAGAAGUUGAUAAUCGCUGUUGUUUGUAUAUUUCUUUGUUAUUUUCUGGCAGGCUAAUAUCUGAAGAAAGUAACCUUCAUUUGCCCUUUAAAUACUGUUCAGUUACUCGGUUAGAAUGCAAAUUUCUUUUUAUUGGAAUUUUCAUUACUUAACAGAUGAUUGAGUUAGUGGGAUAGUUCUGAGUCUUCGUUUGUGACAAUACGUGUUUGAAUCUCUUCUGAGGAAUCUAGUAAGUUGUUGAAUGCUAAGUAGUUGGAAGGCAGGUUAAAAUGUUAUGUUUUGUGACAUUAUACCUUAGUAUUAAGUCAUGGUUUAUACUAAUGACACUGGUUACGUUUGCUGAAUUGAGGAGUGGUUCGAGAGAGCUUCCUUCAGCCCACUCAUGGAUGAGAUUGGGGUUGAAUUAGCUGCCGACUCAUUCAUCCAACCACUCAGUAGAAAAGAAGAUGUUUUGUGCUACUGUGAUUGAGUGAAUGAUGCGGGAGAUAGUUUCUAUCCCUCUCUUCCCUUGCUUGGACUGAAGGGAGCUCCCUUUUUCCAUGCUUUCAUUUUUUUCCACCCUCGGGGAUUUACACGUUUUCCUUCAAAUGGUACAGCUUUCAACAGGUGGGAUCUUCUCCUCGUCUCCGUCAUAUAAUAAAUGUGCCUGAAAGGCUUUUAAGUUUCCGUUAUGGAGAAUAAACUUGAAUUUGGCUUCCGUUUGUUGCAUCAGACUAUCAGAGUAGGAGUUUUAUUCACAAGAUUCAUCUUUGGAAAAUCAAAAGCCAAUUUCCCGAGCACUGAUGAAGGGUUAUUAUAAACAGCCUGACGUAUUAUUGGUCCCCGCCCCACUCUAGUCUUAAGUGGUAUUCACAGCUAUGAUAAUAUUCCCUGUCUUGUUCCAUUUCUAUUAUAUUCUCUCUGUGGCAUUUGGUACUCCGAAGAUUUUAGGUCCCCCGAAGUCUAGAUCUUGUAAGAAUAUGAUGUUCCAUUUUCUGGAUCGAAGUAACAAUAAGAAGGAACCGGGCCUCUCCUUUGGAUGCCGGUUGCUCUCUAGAGACUAACCUGGAUUCGAUUAAUUUUACUGAUCCAGAAGAUUGGCAUUCGAGUGGAGCAUAGAUGGAUGCAUUAACGAGUUUGAAGACAACAUGGUACCAUCAAAAGGCUUCAUUGAAGGCUGAGUGGUCCCCUCGGGGCUAAAGCCCGAGUUCAGGAGUUUGAACUCAUGUGUAUGUAACAACACCGGGAAUCCGGGAUGCAAAUACCGGUGCAGUAUGUAUAAAAGUAAAAAAAGGAUGAGCGGUCCGCUCGGGGAUGAAGUGUGCAUAGUUUAUAGUUUUUUGCAAAGUGUUUAGUCGAACGUCCUUAAUGGGUCGCUGAGUCACUCUGAUUUACUACCUUCACAAAUCCUGUUGAGCUGGGGUGUGGGGCCCAGGGCGAGGGAUUUCGUGUUCAUGUGGGCAAGUUGAACGCCCGACAGGGUGAUGGCUUGCACGUGUAUUUUAUUUCGUUGUGGACUCGUUUUUCUUAGUUGCUUUCCCUUUCAAAAUUGACAGGUCCAAACUGUGAAAAGAGGACCACUGAAAAUAUUUAAAGAUAUGUGAAUGAGACUACUCUCUUUAUCCUGUUUCUGUUGUUUGUUCAGCAUCAAAGAGAUUCCUGUCAGAUCAUAAAUCACACAACUAACAUUUUUGGAGAUAAAGAUCAGAUAAUUGCAGAAAUUAUGGUUCCCAGACCUCAAGCGAAACGACCAUCUGGAAAGCAGGGGAGUGUUUGUACUUUGGAGAAAGCGAGAACGAGAGCUUGGAGACUAUGAAAGACA